GUGGGGGUGGCAGAGCCUGGUCAAAGGUCGCCCUCAAAACCCGCAAACGGGUUCCAACAGAGCGCCUGUAAUUUGCUUUUCGUUGGCCAAAUGCGCAGGAUUGAGGCUCCUGUUCCUUAGGGAUGCCUGGGUUCAAAUCCCAGCCCCCACA
rnacentral:tRNA from 1 species